GGGACGCGGGGCCCUGGACGCGGGGCGCGUGUGGCCCGCACGUGUGUCGCCUGCACGCGUGUCGCCCGCCGUGUUCCCACGGCUGCUGUCAGCCCCGCCUGUUUCCUAAACGUCUGCGCCGGCAUUCUCCGCGGCGGGUCCGCGUCCCGGCUGGAGUCACUUUCUCCUCCGGAUGUUGCCAGAAGUCACCGCACGUGGCCGUCCACGCUGAAGAAUAACGCUCGUUUCAGAAGGCAGGGGACUUACCACGUAUCUCGAGGCGAUCCUCACGGCCUUCUGCUUCCUUCAUUCCGCCGGGCGGAGAAGACGCCGGCCCCGCAGUGUUUGUAACAAAAAUAACGCAAGAACCAUCAAUACGAAACUGUUCCUGUGGUCGACUUCAGACUUCAGGCCUUUGUUUUACAGACGAGGAAACAGCACGGUUGAUCUACAACUCAAUAAUAGACGUCAUAAAUCUCAGAGCAGGCCCCCGAGACCGUGCACCGGGCGAGUUAACAUGGCGGGUCAGCACGUCCAGAUGGCCCAGGCCCACAUAUGGGAGGAUGCUGCCGCUGGACCCGACGUCGGUCAGAAGUGUGUGGGGGCUGCUCCUGCUCUUCUGUUUUGGGGGCGGGCUGCUGGCCUCUCUCCCCGCCCUUCAAAUUUGGUUUGCCUGAUUUUUGUAUAUGUGUA